rnacentral:rRNA from 1 species
UCUUGACACAAUCCUACUUGGAUAACUGUGGUAAUUCUAGAGCUAAUACAUGCAUUAAAGCUCUGACCUCACGGAAAGAGUGCAUUUAUUAGAACAAAACCAAGCGGCUUCGGCUGUUUUCGGUUGACUCAUAGUAACUGAGCUGAUCGCAUGGUCUUGCACCGGCGACGUGUCUUUCAAGUAUCUGCCGUAUCAACUUUCGAUGGUAGUGUAUCUGACUACCAUGGUGAUCACGCGUAACGGAGAAUAAGGGUUCGACUCCGGAGAGUUCGCCUGAGAAAUCGCGAACACAUCUAAGGAAGGCAGCAGGCGCGAAAAUUACCCACUCUCAGCACGAGGAGGUAGUGACGAAAAAUAACGAGACCGUUCUCUUUCGAGGCCGGUCAUCGGAAUGGGUACAAUUUAAACCCUUUAACGAGUAUCUAUGAGAGGGCAAGUCUGGUGCCAGCAGCCGCGGUAAUUCCAGCUCUCAAAGUGCAUAGAAUUAUUGCUGCGGUUAAAAAGCUCGUAGUUGGAUCUGUGCCAUAGGACGGGGUCUUUCCUAACGGAUUUGUACUUCGCUCCUAGGCUUUUCAGUCGGUUUUCCCGUAAUUGCAUUCAUUUGUCGUUGCGGGUGGCUGACGAGUUUACUUUGAGAAAAUCAGAGUGCUCAAUACAGGCGUCUAGCUUGAAUGAUUGUGCAUGGAAUAAUAGAAAAGGAUUUCGGUCCUCUUUUAUUGGUUUUGUGGACUGAGAUAAUGGUUAACAGGGACAAACGGGGGCAUUCGUAUCGCUGCGUGAGAGGUGAAAUUCUUGGACCGUAGCGAGACGCCCUACUGCGAAAGCAUUUGCCAAGAAUG